rnacentral:rRNA from 1 species
GUGAGGAAUAUUGCGCAAUGGAGGCAACUCUGACGCAGCCAUGCCGCGUGCAGGAAGAAGGCGCUACGCGUUGUAAACUGCUUUUAACCGGGAAGAAACCCCAGGACGUGUCCUGGGUUGACGGUACCGGAGGAAUAAGCACCGGCUAACUUCGUGCCAGCAGCCGCGGUAAUACGAAGGGUGCAAGCGUUAUCCGGAUUCAUUGGGUUUAAUGGGUGCGUAGGCGGAGCGUUAAGUCAGUGGUGAAAUCCUGCAGCUUAACUGUAGACUUGCCAUUGAUACUGGCGCUCUUGAGUGCGCUUGAAGUGGGCGGAAUGUGCCGUGUAGCGGUGAAAUGCUUAGAUAUGGCACAGAACACCAAUUGCGAAGGCAGCUCACUAAGGCGAUACUGACGCUGAGGCACGAAAGCGUGGGGAUCGAACAGGAUUAGAAACCCGUGUAGUCC